UACGAAGGGGGCUAGCGUUGCUCGGAAUCACUGGGCGUAAAGCGCACGUAGGCGGCUCUUUAAGUCAGGGGUGAAAUCCUGGAGCUCAACUCCAGAACUGCCCUUGAUACUGAGGAGCUUGAGUCCGGGAGAGGUGAGUGGAGCUGCGAGUGUAGAGGUGAAAUUCGUAGAUAUUCGCAAGAACACCAGUGGCGAAGGCGGCUCACUGGCCCGGUACUGACGCUGAGGUGCGAAAGCGUGGGGAGCAAACAGG
rnacentral:rRNA from 1 species